rnacentral:tRNA from 1 species
GAGUGUGUAGCUCAGGUGGUAGAGCGCAUGCUUAGCACGCAUGAGGUCCUGGGUUCAAUCGCCAGACCCUCC